AGUUCCUUGGGCAGCUCCUAUAAGACAAGGAAUUUUGACAUUUGUUUGGAGAGCCUCACUUGACCUCUUUUUGGAGAGCUGAAUUGGACUGAACGUGAGAAUUCCUUCUGGACUUGAUCUCUCAGGAGACUAGAGGUCACUGCCUUUGAUGCAUUCUUC